UACGUAGGUGGCAAGCGUUAUCCGGAUUUAUUGGGCGUAAAGCGAGCGCAGGUGGUUUAUUAAGUCUGGUGUAAAAGGCAGUGGCUCAACCAUUGUAUGCAUUGGAAACUGGUAGACUUGAGUGCAGGAGAGGAGAGUGGAAUUCCAUGUGUAGCGGUGAAAUGCAUAGAUAUAUGGAGGAACACCGGUGGCGAAAGCGGCUCUCUGGCCUGUAACUGACACUGAGGCUCGAAAGCGUGGGGAGCAAACAGG
rnacentral:rRNA from 1 species